rfam:Ictidomys tridecemlineatus contig063464, whole genome shotgun sequence.
GGGGUUGUAGCUCAGUGGCAGAGCACUUGCCUAGCAUGUAUGAGACACUGGGUUCAAUUCUUAGCAUCACAU